UACGGAGGGUGCAAGCGUUAAUCGGAAUUACUGGGCGUAAAGCGUGCGUAGGCGGUUUAUUAAGUCAGAUGUGAAAUCCCCGGGCUCAACCUGGGAACUGCAUCUGAUACUGGUAGACUAGAGUGUGGGAGAGGAGAGUGGAAUUUCCGGUGUAGCGGUGAAAUGCAUAGAGAUCGGAAGGAACAUCAGUGGCGAAGGCGACUCUCUGGACCAACACUGACGCUGAGGCACGAAAGCGUGGGUAGCAAACAGGAUUAGAUACCCUGGUAGUCCACGCCGUAAACGAUGUCAACUAGCCGUCAGGCUCGCUUUAGAGUUUGGUGGUGGAGCUAACGUAUUAAGUUGACCGCCUGGGGAGUACGCUCGCAAGAGUAAAACUCAAAGGAAUUGACGGGGGCCCGCACAAGCGGUGGAGCAUGUGGUUUAAUUCGACGACGCGAAAAAACUUACCUGGGCUUGACAUG
rnacentral:rRNA from 1 species